CAUUUGGUGACGCUGGUCUUGUGAGGACACAAGAGAGGGCCUUCUCAGCGGCUGCUCCCAGGUUAUCGAACUCCCUUCCCAGGAGGUCUGGUUGGACCCUCCAGCAAGUAGCCUUAUGCUUAAUAAUGCUUAGGAUGUUUUCGGGAUUUCAAGAUACCACAUUAUAUCCUUAUUGACACACCUAAGGAGCCUCUUGGGAAGAAACCAGACUAAAAACUAAAUGAAGAAAGAAAUGCACAGUCUGAGCAAUGACAAUCUUAAGUUUCCAGUCCUUUAUCGGCCACCUCCCUGGUCCAAUUCAAGAAGGAGCUGAAGACUCUCUUGUUCACACAAGCAUUCCCUGAACCAGGCUUCAAUUAGUCUCUUCCCCCCCUCUAUGGCAGCAGUGACAUGCUGGCUAGAAUGUUUUAAUGUCUAUGCUUUUAAUGCAUCUGCGGUUUUUAUUGUAUGUAUUGUAUAUGAUUUUAUCUUGUA